rnacentral:rRNA from 1 species
CUGCCUUGCACCGGGGGAUAACACUUAGAAAUAGGUGCUAAUACCGCAUAAGCGCACGGAGCUGCAUGGCUCAGUGUGAAAAACUCCGGUGGUGCAAGAUGGACCCGCGUCUGAUUAGCUUGUUGGCGGGGUAACGGCCCACCAAGGCGACGAUCAGUAGCCGGCCUGAGAGGGUGGACGGCCACAUUGGGACUGAGACACGGCCCAAACUCCUACGGGAGGCAGCAGUGGGGAAUAUUGGACAAUGGGGGGAACCCUGAUCCAGCGACGCCGCGUGAGUGAAGAAGUAUCUCGGUAUGUAAAGCUCUAUCAGCAGGGAAGAAAGAAAUGACGGUACCUGACCAAGAAGCCCCGGCUAACUACGUGCCAGCAGCCGCGGUAAUACGUAGGGGGCAAGCGUUAUCCGGAUUUACUGGGUGUAAAGGGAGCGUAGACGGUAAUGCAAGUCUGGAGUGAAAUGCAGGGGCUCAACCCCUGAACUGCUUUGGAAACUGUAUGACUGGAGUGCAGGAGAGGUAAGUGGAAUUCCUAGUGUAGCGGUGAAAUGCGUAGAUAUUAGGAGGAACACCAGUGGCGAAGGCGGCUUACUGGACUGUAACUGACGUUGAGGCUCGAAAGCGUGGGGAGCAAACAGGAUUAGAUACCCUGGUAGUCCACGCCGUAAAC